rnacentral:rRNA from 1 species
GAGUUUGAUCUUGGCUCAGAUUGAACGCUGGCGGCAGGCCUAACACAUGCAAGUCGAGCGGAUGACGGGAGCUUGCUCCUUGAUUCAGCGGCGGACGGGUGAGUAAUGCCUAGGAAUCUGCCUGGUAGUGGGGGACAACGUUUCGAAAGGAACGCUAAUACCGCAUACGUCCUACGGGAGAAAGCAGGGGACCUUCGGGCCUUGCGCUAUCAGAUGAGCCUAGGUCGGAUUAGCUAGUUGGCGGGGUAAUGGCUCACCAAGGCGACGAUCCGUAACUGGUCUGAGAGGAUGAUCAGUCACACUGGAACUGAGACACGGUCCAGACUCCUACGGGAGGCAGCAGUGGGGAAUAUUGGACAAUGGGCGAAAGCCUGAUCCAGCCAUGCCGCGUGUGUGAAGAAGGUCUUCGGAUUGUAAAGCACUUUAAGUUGGGAGGAAGGGCAGUAAGUUAAUACUUGCUGUUUUGACGUUACCGACAGAAUAAGCACCGGCUAACUCUGUGCCAGCAGCCG